GAUGAAGAACGCAGUGAAAUGCGAUAAGUAAUGUGAAUUGCAGAAUUCAGUGAAUCAUCGAAUCUUUGAACGCACAUUGCGCCCGCUAGUAUUCUGGCGGGCAUGCCUGUCCGAGCGUCAUUUCAACCCUCAAGCCCCUCCGGGGGCCUGGCGUUGGGGAUCGGCCCCGCUCCGGCGGCCGGCCCCGAAAUGUAGUGGCGGUCUCGCCGCUGCCUCCUCUGCGUAGUAGAAACACCUCGCAUUGGGACGCGGCGGGCCCACGCCGUUAACCAGAUGAAUUUUUUCAAGGUUGACCUCGGAUCAGGUAGGAAUACCCGCUGAACUUAAGCAUAUCAAUAAGCGGAGGA
rnacentral:misc_RNA from 1 species